rnacentral:tRNA from 1 species
GCGCCAGUAGCUCAGUUGGAUAGAGCGUCGGCCUCCGGAGCCGAAGGUCGCGGGUUCGAAUCCCUCCUGGCGUA